rnacentral:rRNA from 1 species
AGAGUUUGAUCCUGGCUCAGGACGAACGCUGGCGGCGUGCCUAACACAUGCAAGUCGAGCGAUGAAAUCCCUUCGGGGAUGGAUUAGCGGCGGACGGGUGAGUAACACGUGGGUAACCUGCCUCAAAGAGGGGGAUAGCCUCCCGAAAGGGAGAUUAAUACCGCAUAACAUUAGUUUUUCGCAUGGAGAACUAAUUAAAGGAGUAAUCCGCUUUGAGAUGGACCCGCGGCGCAUUAGCUAGUUGGUGAGGUAAAGGCUCACCAAGGCGACGAUGCGUAGCCGACCUGAGAGGGUGAUCGGCCACAUUGGAACUGAGACACGGUCCAGACUCCUACGGGAGGCAGCAGUGGGGAAUAUUGCACAAUGGGCGAAAGCCUGAUGCAGCAACGCCGCGUGAGUGAUGAAGGCCUUCGGGUUGUAAAGCUCUGUCUUUGGGGACGAUAAUGACGGUACCCAAGGAGGAAGCCACGGCUAACUACGUGCCAGCAGCCGCGGUAAUACGUAGGUGGCAAGCGUUGUCCGGAUUUACUGGGCGUAAAGGAUGCGUAGGCGGAUAUUUAAGUGAGAUGUGAAAUUCCCGGGCUUAACUUGGGGGCUGCAUUUCAAACUGGAUAUCUAGAGUGUGGGAGAGGAGAAUGGAAUUCCUAGUGUAGCGGUGAAAUGCGUAGAGAUUAGGAAGAACACCAGUGGCGAAGGCGAUUCUCUGGACCAUAACUGACGCUGAGGCAUGAAAGCGUGGGUAGCAAACAGGAUUAGAUACCCUGGUAGUCCACGCCGUAAACGAUGAGUACUAGGUGUAGGGGGGUCCAACCCUCUGUGCCGCAGUUAACACAAUAAGUACUCCGCCCGGGAAGUACGAUCGCAAGAUUAAAACUCAAAGGAAUUGACGG